rnacentral:pre_miRNA from 1 species
AAAAAGCAAAAAGUUGCAAUAUCGGUAUACGACGUUACGUAGAUAUUGCACUAAUUUGCUUUUGA